AGACGGGCCCCGCACAAGCAGCGGAGCGUGUGGUUUAAUUCGAUGUUACACGAAGAACCUUACCAGGGUUUUGACAUGCAAGUGGCAGGAAGCCGAAAGGUGACCGACCCUUCGGGGAGCUUGCACAGGUGCUGCAUGGCUGUCGUCAGCUCGUGUCGUAAGAUGUUCGGUUAAGUCCGCUAACGAGCGCAACCCUCGUCGUAUGUUAUAUGUGUCAUACGAGACUGCCGGUAAAAAGCCGGAGGAAGGUGAGGAUGAUGUCAAGUCAGCAUGACCUUUAUAUCCAGGGCUACACACACGCUACAAUGGUCUGUACAAUGGGUAGCCAAGCCGCGAGGCGGAGCCAAUCCUGAAAGCAGGCCUCAGUUCAGAUUGCAGUCUGCAACUCGACUGCAUGAAGCCGGAGUUGCUAGCAACCGCAGGUCAGCAAUACUGCGGUGAAUACGUUCCCGGGUCUU
rnacentral:rRNA from 1 species